CAGCCCCUGUCAUUGCUAAGACUGGCGCCCACACGGGCCGGAGAGGGACCAGCUCAGACCCUGGGAGGGAGCGGGCUGGACGGAGUGGGGUCAGAUCACUCUGUGCGCUCGCACGCUGGAAAAAGCCUGCAAUCCCCUCCUCGGAGUCAGAGGGGGAGGCCGGGUGCCUGGGAGGCAGGACAGUGUGGUCAUCAGCAUCAUUGUCACCACCUACAACCCUAGCGUCAACACAUGCCAGCAGGGCUCUGUGCCAGCUGGCCAACACCUGCCAUCCCGUCUGGUCCUCGUUACCAGCUGUGAGGCAGGAAUUCUCAGUCCCCUUUGAGAAUGGGUGCACUCAGGGGCAGGUCACCUGCCAAGGCACACCCCUACCUGUGCACACUCUUGUGUUGUCAAGACUCGAGCAGCUGCAGGGGACAGAAGCACGAGGAGGAGAAGCUCGAGGAAGCCGGCCAGGAGGCCACCAGAGUGCCUGGCUCUAGGCUGAAGGAGGGGAUUCCCGGGGGAAGGGGCGACCCAGCCAGAGACCGGUCCACUGUGGCUGGCCAGAGCUCACUGGUGCACCUGCCCUGGGUCCCCUGGAACUGGCACCUGUCCCUCAACCUGACCUCUGACCCCGCAGGCAAGCACUUAUUCUUCCCUGCAGUGCAGAUGGGGAAACUGAGGCUGUGAAUAGAGAAGGGCCUUGCCGGGUCGAGGGCUGCUGGGCUCCUCCUCUCCCUGGAGGGAGAGCUCGGCUCCCUGCUCAGCUCAACUCCCCCGAAAUUCCUUCCUUUGCUCCGCAAGGGUCAGCCCGCUCCAGCCCACCAGCCACAGGCACCCGCCCACCGCUGCCUCCUCCCGCCCAGGGCCGGGCCACCAUUGGCUGGAAAGGGUGCCCAUCCUCGCAGGGGGCCCGCCCCCUCCUAACUCUUGCUUCCCAGAGUGGCAGCACCAGAACAGCCCCCAGGGGCCACUGCGGGCCACCUCACACAGGCCACCUCCUUCUCUCUGGCCCUUUGGGCCUGCACAGCUGAACGGAGCGCCCUGCGCCUUCCAGCCCCAGGCGGGUGUGAGCCUGGCCAGUGGGUGGCUCAGCCUGGGAGCUGCGGGGUGACCCAGCGUGGGAGCACCCUUUUGCCUGGCCGUGUGGUGUGCUUGCCGAUGGCAGGUGCUACGCGUGUGCCUCCUUAGUCUCCCUCCCGCCACGCACUGCUUGAGUCCAGUCGGGCCACUGUCCCACUGUCAGGGACAGGCCGAGAGCUUCUCCACGCUGGGCUUGCCCAAGCUGUCCUGUGCCUGCGACCCCAGACCUCCCGCCCACCCACAUCCUUCCUGGUCCUGGCCAAGAGCCCCACUCUUCUUGGUGUCCCUUCCAGACACCCACCAACCCUCGGGUCUGGGCCCCCAGCCUUGCCUCCAGGGGUGUCUGACUCUGGAGCCUCACCCUCUCACCCGGUGGCCAGGCAGGAUCCCAGCCACACCCACCAGUGCCCAAGGCGGUGGGCUGGCGCCUCCGGCUGCAGGUGGGCAUGGGGGAGGGGCUCCCGUCUCGCCGUCCGGCAGACUGAUUUGUUCCACCUGCAGUGUCCCUGGUGUGUCCUGCCAGGGACACUCUGAAAAGUGCUUUCACUUGUGCACAGAGAGCUCUGGAAGCCAAGUGGACCCCAGAUGAGCCAUAUUAAAGGACAUGUGUGUGACACGUG